UUGACACCGGUGAAAACAUAAGGCACAAAAUGAUGACACCCAAAUCCAAGACUGAUUUAGUUUACACCAAACCGAAGAACCAUCAAGAAUUCAAUGACAAACCACAAGUUUGACAAUAAGCAGUUUAUUUAUAAGAGAAGUUUGCCAAAUGGUGCUUUCCACUCCAAAUCUUAGAUCUUUCACUGGCAUGGGUUUUCCUUGUCACCAAUUGUCCAGCACAUGCAAUCUUUCUUUUCUUGAAGAAGUAAAUAUUAACAAAUUUCAGCUGGAGAGAAGUUCAAUUGUCAUAAGAUGGCUCCAAGUGCUUGCCAAUGUAAAAAUAUUUACAUUAACUUCAAUUAUACUUCAGCUAAUACUACAUGUGAUAUUUCAAGUUCCCUUUCUCUUAAAGAAUAAAGACAGAAAGAUCCAGCCCUCGAGAUGAUAAAUAUAUGAUCUUUCAAGGAUAGUUAACUUAUUAGAAGGGAAAAGAGAGAAAACAAUGUGUUUUUCGUUCCUAUUUUCCCUAACAAUUGAAUGAGGUUUUUCUUUCUUCUCGGGGGAUUUUUUUUUAGAAAGUGAUUUACAUUUUUCACGUGAUAGAGAUGUUAAAAUAUUAUUAUCACUGGCAGAUCUACGUAUAUUU